UCCAGCUCAUCGCCGGCAGUCUCUACCGAGUGCACCAAGAUAAAUCCUGGUUAGCAACAGCAGACGUGGGUUGCGCUCGUUGCGGGACUUAACCCAACACUUCACAGCACGAGCUGACGACAGCCAUGCACCACCUGUGCUAGCUCCCGACUUAACGGGUCCAUCCCCUUUCGGUUCAGUACUUCUAGCAUGUCAAGCCUAGGUAAGGUUCUACGCGUAGCAUCGAAUUGAACCACAUGUUCCACCGCUUGUGCGGGCCCCCGUCAAUUCCUUUGAGUUUCAUCCUUGCGGACGUACUCCCCAGGUGGAGGACUUAAUGGGUUACCUACGGCAAUGACUCUAAACGAGCCAUCACCUAGUCCUCAACGUUUACGGCGUGGACUAC
rnacentral:misc_RNA from 1 species